CCGAAAUCGGUAGACGCUACGGACUUAAAAUCCGUCGACUUUAGAAAUCGUGAGGGUUCAAGUCCCUCUAUCCC
rnacentral:tRNA from 7 species